CGUCAACUCUACUGUCAUCUUGCAUGGAUGCGGUGUCGGACAGGAAGCAAACAGCAAGAUGCUGUUUCAUUGCUUCAGACGAAGAUCCCUGUUGGCAGAGUUUCAAACUGAUGGACUGCAUUUCUAGAUUUUGACUGAUUUCCCUGUUCGCCAUCUCCUGUGAUUGUGGAGCGGUGUUGUCAGCGGAUACUCCCGUCAUAAGGGUAGCUGUAUUCGCAAACUCUCCCGGUUCAGUGCUUGUGCCAGACGAAAUAUUUUCCGGUACUUCCGUUGCCACGUGAUCAUCCUCAGGCAUAGCGUUCUGUUGGUAAUAUCGCAUGCCGAAAUAAUCAUCGAGCGAAAGCCAACGAUUAUUCGCACACACGGAAGCCGUAGUUUCUGUAAAGUAAUCGUUCGUUGUAUAAAAUUCAAUUAUUUAAUUGUAGGCACAUGCGGAGAUCGCAGUUUAAAAUGGUUACAUCAAGGCUGAUUUUGAUCGGCAGCUGGAAGUACUGUGCAAUUUACGUCAUUACUAGUGUGGAGAGUGGACCUCGACAGCGCAGUUGUCAUUUGGUAAUGAAUCUGCGUCACCAGUCCUUGUUUGACCGCUGAUUGAAUCCUCCUUCUCUGAAGUUACAUACGACUGUUGUCGAUCUUCAGAUGGCAUCCCCUCAGGUUCGGGCAGAGUUGGGAACGGCCCCGUAGUGAUGUGAUCAACAGCUGCUUCUGGUGUCCGCUGCUCGAUAUUACCGACGCCUUCCAACCGACAUAGCGUAGCUACCGGAGUUACGCAUGUGUCGUCCUCAACUAUUGCAGUGGAAGGUUGAGCCUAUAAACAUGGGAAUAUUUUAAAACAAAGCCUUACUGGGACAAACAAGCCAGCAAAUAACCGGCACACUGCAAAGAACUUACACGAGGCAGCUGAAAAAUCGCCGGUGAUUCUUUGUUGUGGAAAUCCCGCUCAACAGCGUCGCUACUGACAGCGCGCAAAGGGGUGUGUUUUGACUGGAGGCCGACAUCAAUGUGCUGCAUUGCUGAUGCACAGGAGUAUCCCUGUAUGUGCAGUUGCGAAACAACGGGCUGCUGCGCGAGGUAGUGGCUGUCGUCCCAGUUCGUCUCAAUUGGGAGCGUUUGUGUGAUCGGGAUUGGCAAAGCCGGUGACGUAUUAGCGGUCGAUUCGACAGACGGUUCGUUGUCCGUUACGUUAUGCUGACGCUUUGGAGCGCUACUGGCUUCGCUAUAGUACGGUUGCGGCCGCUGGAUAUCCACUGUGCUGACGCUCAGGAUUUGGUGGCUGUGCACAGCAGUAACUAUAACAGGAAGAAAAGUAUUAGGCAAAGGCGAGUAGCCUAUUGAAAUAAACCACGGCUGAGAAUUAAAUAUGAGGCGAAACACCACUACUGAAUGUAUACAGAAAAUAUAUGUUCUAGUAAAAUAACAAGUAAAAAUUGCAGAAUUUUGCAAGCUACACCUUUAUGAGAUCGAAUUCAUAAAUUUGCAUACCAUGCUGAUGAAAAAUAAAU